AGCGAACGCUGGCGGCAGGCUUAACACAUGCAAGUCGAGCGGGCGUAGCAAUACGUCAGCGGCAGACGGGUGAGUAACGCGUGGGAACGUACCUUUUGGUUCGGAACAACACAGGGAAACUUGUGCUAAUACCGGAUAAGCCCUUACGGGGAAAGAUUUAUCGCCGAAAGAUCGGCCCGCGUCUGAUUAGCUAGUUGGUGAGGUAAUGGCUCACCAAGGCGACGAUCAGUAGCUGGUCUGAGAGGAUGAUCAGCCACAUUGGGACUGAGACACGGCCCAAACUCCUACGGGAGGCAGCAGUGGGGAAUAUUGGACAAUGGGGGCAACCCUGAUCCAGCCAUGCCGCGUGAGUGAUGAAGGCCCUAGGGUUGUAAAGCUCUUUUGUGCGGGAAGAUAAUGACGGUACCGCAAGAAUAAGCCCCGGCUAACUUCGUGCCAGCCGCCGCCGUAACAC
rnacentral:rRNA from 1 species